rnacentral:rRNA from 1 species
AGUGAACGCUGGCGGUAGGCCUAACACAUGCAAGUCGAACGGCAGCACAGUAAGAGCUUGCUCUUACGGGUGGCGAGUGGCGGACGGGUGAGGAAUACAUCGGAAUCUACUUUUUCGUGGGGGAUAACGUAGGGAAACUUACGCUACUACCGCAUACGUCCUACGGGUGAAAGCAGGGGUUCUUCGGACCUUGCGCGAUUGAAUGAGCCGAGGUCGGAUUAGUUAGUUGGCGGGGUAAAGGCCCACCAAGGCAACGAUGCGUAGCCGAUCUGAGAGGAUGAUCGGCCACACUGGAAGUGAGACACGGUCCAGAAUCCUACGGGAGGCAGCAGUAGGGAAUAUUACGCAAUGGGCGAAAGCCUGACGGAGCAAUGCCGCGUGAGUGAUGAAGGUCUUCGGAUCGUAAAACUCUGUUAUUAGGGAAGAACAAAUGUGUAAGUAAAUAUGCACGUCUUGACGGUACCUAAUCAGAAAGCCACGGCUAACUACGUG